rnacentral:rRNA from 1 species
UACGGAGGGUGCGAGCGUUGUCCGGAAUCAUUGGGCGUAAAGAGCGUGUAGGCGGCCACUUAAGUCCUGCGUGAAAUCUUGCGGCUCAACCGCAAGCGGUCGUGGGAAACUGGGUGGCUAGAGUGCGGGAGAGGAGAGUGGAAUUCCUGGUGUAGCGGUGGAAUGCGCAGAUAUCAGGAAGAACACCCAUGGCGAAGGCGGCUCUCUGGAACGCAACUGACGCUGAGACGCGAAAGCGUGGGGAGCAAACAGG